UACGUAGGGACCGAGCGUUGUCCGGAAUCAUUGGGCGUAAAGAGCGUGUAGGCGGCCUGUUAAGUCUUGCGUGAAAUCUCGGGGCUCGAACCCCGAGCGGUCGUGAGAAACUGGCAGGCUAGAGUGCGGGAGAGGAGAGUGGAAUUCCUGGUGUAGCGGUGAAAUGCGCAGAUAUCAGGAAGAACACCGGUGGUGUAGACGGCUUCUGGACCGUAACUGACGCUGAGACACGAAAGCGUGGGUAGCAAACAGG
rnacentral:rRNA from 1 species